AACGCACCUUGCGCUCCUUGGUAUUCCGAGGAGCAUGCCUGUUUGAGUGUCAUGAAAUUCUCAAACCCAAUAGUCUUUGCGGACUAGUGGGCUUUGGACUUGGAGGCUUGUCGGCGACUGCAAAGUCAUCGACUCCUCUCAAAUGCAUUAGCUUGAUUCCUUGCGGAUCGGCUCUCGGUGUGAUAAUUGUCUACGCCGUGACCGUGAAGCGUUUUGGCGAGCUUCUAAUCGUCUCUUGCGAGACAGCUUACAUUGACCUCUGACCUCAAAUCAGGUAGGACUACCCGCUGAACUUAA
rnacentral:misc_RNA from 1 species